AUUGAACGCUGGCGGCAGGCCUAACACAUGCAAGUCGAGCGAGCGGCGGACGGGUUACUAAGGCAUCGGGAUCUGCCCGGUAGAGGGCGAUCAGUACUGGAAACGGUGGCCAAUACCGCAUACAUUCGCAUGAACCCAUUUGGGAUUAGCUGGGUGGUAAGGGAACGGCGUACCACGGUGACGAUCCGUAGCUGGUCUGUGAGGAUGAUCAGCCACACUGGGAAUGAGACACGGCCCAGACUCCGACGGGAGGCAGCAGUGGGGAAUAUUGGACAAUGGGCGAAAGCCUGAUGCAGCCAUGCCGCGUGUAUGAAGAAGGCCUUCGGGUUGUAAAGUACUUUAAGUCGGGAGGCGUUACCGACAGAAGAAGCACCGGCUAACUCCGUGCCAGCCGCCGCGGUAAUUC
rnacentral:rRNA from 1 species